GAUUGCCAUCUAUGGCCUCUGCAGUCUCUGGCAUCGUCACGCUUCUUCUUGGACAAAGACCCUCGGGACUAAGUACCAGCGGUGCCCUACGGAAUCCGGUGGUGAAGAGCUGGAAAAGCUCAGUGCAGAAGCUGUGCCACAGGACGGAGGUGUGUAAGAAGAGAAGCUGUUUGGAGUAUGCAUGCACAGCCUCGAGUCCAUAGCUUCCCAUCCCAGGAUCUAACUCCCUUAUCCCCAAAUGAACCUUGUAUCUCCGAGGAUAAUGUCUUAGUUAUCACUUUGUUCCAUUCAGGUUAGUCUCCCACCUGUUUCCUUAUCUAUAUGGUUUCUGGUUACUCAUAUGGAAAGAACAAAAUGGCGCUUUUCUGUAAUAGCAUUUGGUAAAUUCUCUUAUUAAGAAAUAAAAGAAAGAAAGAAACUU
rnacentral:lncRNA from 1 species